rnacentral:rRNA from 1 species
AUUGAACGCUGGCGGCAGGCCUAACACAUGCAAGUCGAACGAGUGGCGGAAGGGUGAGUGAUGUCUGGGAAACUGACUGAUGGAUGAGGAUAACUACUGGAACACGUAGCUAAUAACGCAUACCAUCGGAUGUGCCAAGAUGGGAUUAGCUAGUCGGUGGGGUAAAGGCUCACUUAGGCGACGAUCCCUAGCUGGUCUGAGAGGAUGACCAGCCACACUGGAACUGAGACACGGUCCAAACUCCUACGGGAGGCAGCAGUGGGGAAUAUUGCACAAUGGGCGCAAGCCUGAUGCAGCCAUGCCGCGUGUAUGAAGAAGGCCUUCGGGUUGUAAAGUACUGUCAGCGGGGAGGCGUUACCCGCAGAAGAAGCACCGGCUAACUCCGUGCCAGCAGCCGCGGUAAUAC